rnacentral:rRNA from 1 species
UACGUAGGGACCAAGCGUUGUUCGGAUUUACUGGGCGUAAAGGGCGCGUAGGCGGCGUGUUAAGUCAGCUGUAAAAUCUCCGAGCUUAACUCGGAACGGUCAGCUGAUACUGAUGUGCUAGAGUGCAGAAGGGGCAAUCGGAAUUCUUGGUGUAGCGGUGAAAUGCGUAGAUAUCAAGAGGAACACCUGAGGUGGAGACGGGUUGCUGGGCUGACACUGACGCUGAGGCGCGAAAGCUAGGGGAGCAAACGGG